GACACAUGUCUUUAUUAAAUGAAACGCAGUGUUGUGGUCUCCGUCUUUCAUCGUCUCAUCUCAAUUGGGCUUCAUCUCACGCUCCGGUUUGCGGCCCAUCUACAAUGCGACGAGAGAGAAACCCUAAUCGGUUGUGAAGAACUCAUUCGUGAUUAUUGUUCUCCUUUAAUCUGCGGAAGGGCGAUUCAGUUUCUAUAACGGUGUUCGUGGUGAUUAAUCAUCUUUAAUCCUCUUAAAUCAUGAGGCCAUUACGAAGUUUGAUUGAAGGAUAACGUCGGCGAAAUCAGGUAUAAAUAUGUUACGAUCUCUUCUCUUCAACUCACGAUCUCUGAAUCUUUCUUCUACUUAUCUCGAGGUCUGAUUCAUUAUUAGCUGCGAUCUACAUCGUUAUUAUUAUCACUGUAUUUUCCCCUGAACCAUAUCCUGUUGUUUAGUAAUGAUCGUGGUUUCAUGUUUGGUAGAGUCAAUACUCCGUUGAAAUUCACACAUGUUAAUUGUAUCUAUUCUCGCACUGUUAUGUUUGCACAGGUUGUUCUUGCUCGCAAGAGCAUGAUUAUAACGGAUACUGACAUUGAUCCCGUUGCUUGGUUUGCACAGUUACAGAUGUGUUUUUUUUUUGUCUAAGGUUAGGACUUGAAUCUCAGUUGAGUUAUUGUUUGACAGAGUGAAAGGUCAUGACGCUUAUCAAUUCUGUCUGCAACAACCUGGUGCGCCAGCUUUUAUUGAACACCAUAUGCUAUAGAAAGUAGUCUCUUGGUGUGUUCUGUUUGAUUCACAUAUCUGGAAGAAAUUGUUGUUAAAGAUAAGCGAACUGUGUUAGACAUACAUCUUUGUGAAACAAACUGAGAGACUUUUCCAAAGGAAUCAGUUAGGUGUCUGCAGCGAAGCUUUGGGUGCAACUAGGCCUCGAGCUGCCCGUGAUGUCAAGAUAAAGCGUGACUUACUAACCACCCCAAGGAUAUUGUAUGAAAGAAUAUAAGAGAAAAGUUAAACUCUAUGUGACAAAAAAUUGUGAGGAAGCUUGCAAGAUUGCAGCCACCUAUAUUCUCAAUUGGCAGGGAAGCUGAGAAGAGAAGAUGACGAGCUGUUUGUGGGCUUCCAGCAGAAGAAGCCAGACUUUGAUUAAGGAAAUAAGUGAUAUAUCAGCUGUUUGUGUGAUCUUUUAAAUUUGAUGUAUUUUCGAGAAUUGCUAUUUUUCUUUCUAUCGUCAUGAUAAAGAUGAGAAUAUCUUUUAAAAAAAAUAUAUUAAUAUCGAAAACCUUAAAUGGGACAUUGGUUAAAUGGUUGCACCAAAUAAUUGAUUUGCAAAUUAUACCAGAAUAAACUGAAACCAAACAAAGAAGACCCUUGACAGUGAAACAUCG